rnacentral:misc_RNA from 1 species
GUUCCGUAGGUGAACCUGCGGAAGGAUCAUUCUUAUAUAAUCGUUUAGGGCGCUUUGUCAAUCAAUCUACAGCUCGUGCACAAUGGAGUGCGCUCAUAUUCAUCCAUCUCAACCCUACGUCCACCACUUUUUUGUAACUCUUUUGCUGAAUAAUAUGAUGGGUAAACUAUUUCAAACAAACAUUUUAUGCAGCGUAGAAUGUAUUUUUUGUUUUUGCGAUCACGCAAUCAAUACAACUAUCAACAACGGAUCACUUCGCUCCCGCAUCGACGAAGAAAG